rnacentral:rRNA from 1 species
AACGAACGCUGGCGGCAGGCUUAACACAUGCAAGUCGAGCGCCCCGCAAGGGGAGCGGCAGACGGGUGAGUAACGCGUGGGAAUCUACCCAUCUCUACGGAACAACUCCGGGAAACUGGAGCUAAUACCGUAUACGUCCGCAAGGAGAAAGAUUUAUCGGAGAUGGAUGAGCCCGCGUUGGAUUAGCUAGUUGGUGGGGUAAAGGCCUACCAAGGCGACGAUCCAUAGCUGGUCUGAGAGGAUGAUCAGCCACACUGGGACUGAGACACGGCCCAGACUCCUACGGGAGGCAGCAGUGGGGAAUAUUGGACAAUGGGCGCAAGCCUGAUCCAGCCAUGCCGCGUGAGUGAUGAAGGCCCUAGGGUUGUAAAGCUCUUUCAACGGUGAAGAUAAUGACGGUAACCGUAGAAGAAGCCCCGGCUAACUUCGUGCCAGCCGCCGCGGUAA